CCUACGGGAGGCUGCAGUGGGGAAUAUUGGGCAAUGGGGGAAACCCUGACCCAGCAACGCCGCGUGAAGGAAGAAGGCUUUCGGGUUGUAAACUUCUUUGACGAGGGAAGAAAGAAAUGACGGUACCUCGAAAACAAGCCACGGCCAACUACGUGCCAGCAGCCGCGGUAAUACGUAGGUGGCAAGCGUUGUCCGGAUUUACUGGGUGUAAAGGGCGUGCAGGCGGGAUUGCAAGUCAGAUGUGAAAUGCAGGGGCUCAACCCCUGAGGGUCAUUUGAAACUGCAGUUCUUGAGUGAUGGAGAGGCAGGCGGAAUUCCUAGUGUAGCGGUGAAAUGCGUAGAUAUUAGGAGGAACACCAGUGGCGAAGGCGGCCUGCUGGACAUUAACUGACGCUGAGGCGCGAGAGCGUGGGGAGCAAACAGGAUUAGAUACCCGAGUAGUC
rnacentral:rRNA from 1 species